GUGAUGCACAUCUGAGCGAGUAUAUCGCGCCACGUGAUGCCAGGAUGGCCUUCAUGACUGGCUUCACGGGUUCUGCAGGCACUGCUGUCGUUACGCAGACCAAAGCUGCACUCUGGACAGACAGCCGCUACUGGGUUCAAGCUGAGAGACAGAUGGACUGCAACUGGGAGCUGGAAAAAGACG